CCAAUAGCGUAUAUUAAAGUUGUUGCAGUUAAAAAGCUCGUAGUUGAAUUUCGGGGUUAGUAGGUUGGUCAUGCCUCCGGUAUGUACUGGUCUCACUGAUUCCUCCUUCCUGAUGAGCCGUAAUGCCACUAAUUUGGUGUUGCGGGGAAUUUGGACUGUUACUUUGAAAAAAUUAGAGUGUUUAAAGCAAGCUAACGCUUGAAUACAUUAGCAUGGAAUAAUGAAAUAGGACGUUCGAUCCUAUUUUGUUGGUUUCUAGGAUUGACGUAAUGAUUAAUAGGGAUAGUUGGGGGCAUUAGUAUUCAAUUGUCAGAGGUGAAAUUCUUGGAUUUAUUGAAGACUAACUACUGCGAAAGCAUUUGCCAAGGAUGUUUUCAUUAAUCAAGAACGAAAGUUAGGGGAUCGAAGACGAUCAGAUACCGUCGUAGUCUUAACCAUAAACUAUGCCGACUAGGGAUCGGAUGAUGUUAAUUUUUUAAUGACUCAUUCGGCGCCUUACG
rnacentral:rRNA from 1 species